GGGGGGUCAGGAUUUUGAGAGAACUUUGUCAUCUGGUCUACUGCUUGGAAGAUCAGGACAAAAAAUCAGUGGCACAUGGUGACCAAUAUGUCAUGAUUUUGGGAAGGCCAGAUUACUCAACAAUAAAGAAAGCAGCCCAACAAAGGUGGAUGAAGCAACUUGUUUGUGAAACAAGUUGGCCUGUGUGGGAACCAUAAUAGUAGUGGUGUGUCUAAAAUUUAUUAUAGUGUGCCUCAAUAUUUCUCUUUAAUCUGUACCCUAUAGUGGAGGCAUGAACUAGGUUGUCAUAAAAAUUUGUCGAGGGACUACCAUUUUACAAAAAUAUAAUGCAUUGUUAUUGCGUGGCA